rnacentral:rRNA from 1 species
CAGCAGCCGCGGUAAUUCGGAGGGUGCAAGCGUUAUUCGGAUUUAUUGGGCGUAAAGAGCGUGUAGGCGGCCGGUCAAGCCAGAUGUGAAAGCCCAGGGCUUAACCCUGGAAGUGCAUUUGGAACUGGUUGGCUUGAGUUCGGGAGAGGGAAGUGGAAUUCCGGGUGUAGAGGUGAAAUUCGUAGAUAUCCGGAGGAACACCGGUGGCGAGGGCGACUUCCUGGACCGAAACUGACGCUGAGACGCGAAAGCGUGGGGAGCAAACAGGAUUAGAUACCCUGGUAGUCCACGCUGUAAACGAUGGGCGCUAGGUGUGGGGGGUUUUUAAUCCCUCCGUGCCGCAGCUAACGCAUUAAGCGCCCCGCCUGGGGAGUACGGCCGCAAGGUUAAAACUCAAAGGAAUUGACGG